rnacentral:rRNA from 1 species
UACGUAGGGUGCAAGCGUUAAUCGGAAUUACUGGGCGUAAAGCGUGCGCAGGCGGCUUUGCAAGACAGAUGUGAAAUCCCCGGGCUUAACCUGGGAACUGCAUUUGUGACUGCAUGGCUAGAGUGCGGCAGAGGGGGAUGGAAUUCCGCGUGUAGCAGUGAAAUGCGUAGAUAUGCGGAGGAACACCGAUGGCGAAGGCAAUCCCCUGGGCCUGCACUGACGCUCAUGCCCGAAAGCGUGGGGAGCAAACAGG